AGUGGGGAAUAUUGGACAAUGGGCGAAAGCCUGAUCCAGCCAUGCCGCGUGUGUGAAGAAGGUCUUCGGAUUGUAAAGCACUUUAAGUUGGGAGGAAGGGCAUUAACCUAAUACGUUAGUGUUUUGACGUUACCGACAGAAUAAGCACCGGCUAACUCUGUGCCAGCAGCCGCGGUAAUACGGAGGGUGCAAGCGUUAAUCGGAAUUACUGGGCGUAAAGCGCGCGUAGGUGGUUUGUUAAGUUGAAUGUGAAAUCUCCGGGCUCAACCUGGGAACUG
rnacentral:rRNA from 1 species